rnacentral:rRNA from 1 species
CUCAGUUCGGAUCGGAGUCUGCAACCCGACUCCGUGAAGCUGGAUUCGCUAGUAAUCGCGCAUCAGCCAUGGCGCGGUGAAUACGUUCCCGGGCCUUGUACACACCGCCCGUCAAGCCAUGGGAGCCGGGGGUGCUUGAAGUGCGUCGCCGCAAGGCGCGCCCUAGAGCAAAACCGGUGACUGGGGCUAAGUCGUAACAAGGUACC